rnacentral:rRNA from 1 species
GAUGAACGCUGGCGGCGGGCCUAAUACAUGCAAGUCGAGCGAACGCACGAGUGUCGUGAUACUCUGAUGUUAGCGGCGGAAGGGGGAGUAAAACGUGGAUAACCUACCUAUAAGACUGGGAUAAAUUCGGGAAACCGGAGCUAAAAUAGGCCAAAAUUUUGAACAGCAUGGUUCAUAAAUGAAAGACGGUCUUGCGGUCACUUAUAGAUGGACCGGCGCUGCAUUAGCUAGUUGGUAGGGUAACGGCUUACCAAAGCAACGAUGCAUAGCCGACCUGGGAGGGUGAUCGGCCACACUAGAACUGAGACACGGUCCAGACUCCUACGGGAGGCAGCAGUAGAGAAACUUACGCAAUGGGCUAAAGCCUGACGGAACAACGCCGCGUGAGUGAUGAAAGUCUUCGGAUCGUAGAACUCUGUUAUUAGGGAAGAACAUAUGUGUAAGUAACUGUGCACAUCUUGACGGUACCUAAUCAGAAAGCCACGGCUAACUACGUG